GGAAGUAAAGUCGUAACAAGGUUUCCGUAGGUGAACCUGCGGAAGGAUCAUUAUCAUGUAAUUCAGUCCCCUUGGCUGUGUUAUAUAUAUACCCACUCUGUGUACCUUCUCCUGUUGCUUCCGCUGGGUGUGUAAUUCGCCCGGCGGAAGGGUAAAAAUAACCUCUGAGUAUUGAUGAAAUCUCUGUCUGAACCGAAUAGAAAGAAAAAUGUUAAAACUUUCAGCAACGGAUCUCUUGGUUCUC
rnacentral:misc_RNA from 1 species